rnacentral:tRNA from 1 species
GGAGAGGUGGCCGAGUGGCUGAAGGCAUCCGCCUGCUAAGCGGAUGAGAGGUGCAUAGCUUCUCCGAGGGUUCGAAUCCCUCCCUCUCCGCCA